UUAAACAUUUACUUGCUCAUUAGGUCUGACAGGUGACAAAGUUCAAGUCUCUCCACCCAUCAGGUUGCCAGGGAAUAUUACAGUCUCUUAACAGCUCUUUUUAAGUCUGUCAGGAUGAAGACGAGAGAGAAGAACUAUGAGGCAGAUAUUUCUGGACUGAGCUCAGAUAUGAAAACCAAAAACCUCAAUGCAGGUCAAAAUGAGGAUGUCACUGGAAAUUCUGCAUUUUUGCCCUGCUCUUACAGUGAAGUGAAGACAUGACAGUAUAUUGGGACACAAUGACAGGAAUAUAUAAAACAUUAUUCAGAGAAAUGUUUUGUUCUGUCCAGAAUACAACAUUUUUCCAGAAGAGUUUAGGAGGGAAGCUUUAAUUGCAUAUUCACUUGCUGCUUCAUCUGUGUGUUUGCUGUGCUGAUAAACAAAGGUGAGA